rnacentral:rRNA from 1 species
GGUUAAGCGAACAAGCGUACACGGUGGAUGCCCUGGCAGUCAGAGGCGAUGAAGGACGUGCUAAUCUGCGAAAAGCGCCGGUAAGGUGAUAUGAACCGUUAUAACCGGCGAUGUCCGAAUGGGGAAACCCGGUGCACUUCGGUGCAUCAUCGUUAGCUGAAUACAUAGGCUAACGAGGCGAACCGGGGGAACUGAAACAUCUAAGUACCCCGAGGAAAAGAAAUCAACCGAGAUUCCCCCAGUAGCGGCGAGCGAACGGGGAACAGCCCAGAGCCUGAAUCAGCUUGUGUGUCAGUGGAACGGUCUGGAAAGGCCGGCGAUACAGGGUGACAGCCCCGUACACGAAAGCACACAGGCUGUGAGCUCGAUGAGUAGGGCGGGACACGUGAUAUCCUGUCUGAAGAUGGGGGGACCAUCCUCCAAGGCUAAAUACUCCUGACUGACCGAUAGUGAACCAGUACCGUGAGGGAAAGGCGAAAAGAACCCCGGCGAGGGGAGUGAAACAGAACCUGAAACCGUGUACGUACAAGCAGUGGGAGCCUUCGUAAGAGGGUGACUGCGUACCUUUUGUAUAAUGGGUCAGCGACUUAUAUUCUGUAGCAAGGUUAACCGUAUAGGGGAGCCGAAGGGAAACCGAGUCUUAAUUGGGCGUUAAGUUGCAGGGUAUAGACCCGAAACCCGGUGAUCUAGCCAUGGGCAGGUUGAAGGUUGGGUAACACUAACUGGAGGACCGAACCGACUAAUGUUGAAAAAUUAGCGGAUGACCUGUGGCUGGGGGUGAAAGGCCAAUCAAACCGGGAGAUAGCUGGUUCUCCCCGAAAGCUAUUUAGGUAGCGCCUCGUGAACUCAUCUCCGGGGGUAGAGCACUGUUUCGGCUAGGGGGCCAUCCCGGCUUACCAACCCGAUGCAAACUGCGAAUACCGGAGAAUGUUAUCACGGGAGACACACGGCGGGUGCUAACGUCCGUCGUGAAGAGGGAAACAACCCAGACCGCCAGCUAAGGUCCCAAAGUCAUGGUUAAGUGGGAAACGAUGUGGGAAGGCCCAGACAGCCAGGAUGUUGGCUUAGAAGCAGCCAUCAUUUAAAGAAAGCGUAAUAGCUCACUGGUCGAGUCGGCCUGCGCGGAAGAUGUAACGGGGCUAAACCAUGCACCGAAGCUGCGGCAGCGACACUAUGUGUUGUUGGGGAGGGGAGCGUUCUGUAAGCCUGCG